rnacentral:rRNA from 1 species
GCCGGCAGCUAGCUCACUGCAAUCUCACAUGGUCGCCUACUGAAGCUAAGCAGAACUGCACGCAGUCAGUACCUGAAUGGGAGACCCCAUGGGAAAGCUAGGUUGUUGCUGGAA